UUUCAUGGGCUAGAUCCGUUCACAUAGUUUGAGGUUCAAUAAGCUUGAAAGGGCAAGCCUUUUUUGGCUCCACGAUCCAACAAAUUUGAGCCACUUCACCAAAUGCCCACUUUCCCUGUCUAACUCAGUUGUUUUUCUUCUUCUUCUUAGUUUAGGUCACAUAAGACAUUUUAUUUAGUUUGUGCAAAUCAGUUCUCACAGAAAGCUUGUGCUUCGUUGAUAUUUCAAAAUUGAAGAUGCUCAAUAUUGCGUUUCUAAACCUGCCAUGAGAGUGUUAGAUGAUAAAAUUCAAGCAAUAUAUGAUGGUUUUUGCUUGCAAGAAUUGAAUCUUUGAGCUGAAUUAUGUUUCCACUAUUUGAAAUGAUAAGUUUGAUGUUUGAUUUUUUUUGUUUCAUAUGUAUAUCGUUUAGAGUCAAAAAUAGAUCUGACUGUGUUGAUACAAGUAGACUGUAACUCCCCACUACUAAAUUAAAAUCAAAACUUCAUUAACUCAGGCUCUUUCUCUCUCUAUAUUUUCCAUCAGCAAGAACAUCGAAGACUUGUACCUCUAGCGAACUUUUCCUAUAGUUUGGAAAUUCAAGUGGAGUAUUGCGGGAUACUCUUAAUAGAAAGUCACAUGUAUGAGUAUGAAAUGGGCCGUUUCUAUGAGAAUUUUGUAAGACUAAAUUCUCUAAAGCACUCAUGAAUACCGAGAGUUGUCCAAGGCCAUAAAGACAACCUAGAACUAGAUGUGUAUAGCGAGGUAUUGUAUGAGUACUGUAGUCUGCGUUUACACAAACAGUUGAACAAAAGACAUCAUGUUCACUGAUUAGCCAAGUAAAUUCAAUGGUAUUUCACUAGGGAAGGUUCAAAUCCUGAUGUAUCUUUCUAAUCAAACUUUCUCAAGUGUUUGCAUUUUUAGUUUUGCAUAUUGUUGAGCCAAUUUCCAUUUCUAUGGGGAAUUGUUGGAAAAUUUAUUAAAUUUUCUGUUAUUAAAUGGAAAUUAAAUUCUUAAAGAUGUGACUCUUCAAGUUUGAAACAAUGCAUAUCUUAAAUCACAUAUUUUGGGAAUUCACUCUUCAUUAUUUGUAAUCAGAGAAGUCCACUACAUCAUUUUCAUUAAUUCCAUUCAUGAGUCCUAAAUUUGUCAGUAAAAUAGAGUCUCAUAUUGGGAGACAGUUCAAACACAAAUUUGUGUUCAUUGUUCCACUGAUUUGGAGUGUUAUUAUCAGAAGAAAUAGAUUGUUGUAUUCUGGGUGACGUUUGUCAUUAAAAAAUUGAAGCACCAGUGAGGGGCAAUUUCGUCAUUAAACAUCAGUAAAAACUCACCAAAUGACUCCAGUCCUCCAAGGAUGUCUUGUACUAUUUUAGUUCAUGCAACUUCAUGUUCUGGUCCCACCAAAACCUACUGCCUCCACUCCCCGGCUUUGUUGACGUCUCCUUUUGUCUCCUCCGUCACCAAUCCUAUGCGUCCACGGCCAACUCACAAGCAGAGGCUUUCUUCAUCUGGAGCCAAAAUAGAUUUGGUUUUCCCCACCAUCUCACUAUAUUCCUACUCAAGAAGACAAGUACAAAAAGAAAUAACAAAUAUAAGGCAAAAAGAAAAGAAGAAAAAAAGUACUUGCAGAAAGUAUAUCUAACCCUCCUUUUUCUUGGAUUUUCUUUGAAAGGGGAAUUGAAUAAUAUCAAAAGAAGCAUCAAGUCAU
rnacentral:lncRNA from 1 species